AUAUUUUUAGUUAAAUAACACAAUAUUAAUAAAUUGUCAUUACUUAAAAAUAUUUUUUUUUACUGCUAAAUAAAUUUCAGAAUUAGUAUUCAAACAAAAAUUCAAUAUAGAGAAGCAAAAGAGAAGGAGAAACAAAUAUUUUUUUUGUUCACAGAUAGAAUAAUAUUUGAUGAAAAUUAUAUAAUUGAGAAUAUAUAAUUAUAAAGUGUUCACGGUUCACGUCCGAAAUAAAAUAUUAUCGUUAGUUGAAGCUUAAUUCGGUUUAGAGUUUGGUGCUUAUACAAAUUAAUACAAUCAUUCAAUGUGGAGCCCUCUGUCACGCCCCGGAUUACUCGUUCCCCCAGACACACCGACAAAUCCGCCGUAUACAAAAAAAAAAUUUAUGUAUACGAAGCAAUAGCUGUACCUGUACCUGUGAUCAUAGAAAACUACAACUAGUAGUAUACAGCUGCUACCAGAAUUGAAAACAUGCAUAAAUAAAUAUCGGGUUCACCAUACAUACAAGUCUCCAACAUACAGACAUCACUCGCCCCAACGAGUAUCCAACAUCAGUAUGUACAUGAACCAAAAGUCAAAACUAUCUGUAGCUGGUACUCUUCUAGAACAGCAACAAGACUGUAAGGGAUCUAGCUCGCAACUCCCUUUCCACGAUCAAUAUCAGCGAUAGCAGCAGCCGCAGAAGAAGGCUCUACAGAAAGGGGUCAACAACUGGGUAUGAGAACUACUGCAAAAAGAAGUAGUUCUCAGUAGGUACCGCUACCGACCUCAACGGCUCACCCAUUAAAUCUACAAAAAGUAUGCUCAAGGAUAGUAAAGGAAGCUAGAAGAACUCUACAGCUACAUGCCUCUAUACUAUCGCUAACCACUACUAUGUAGAUAUGAAGAUGCACUGCCUGACCCAAUCUCACUAGGGACUGUGAACACACCCGUCCUGCCUGUCGAAGCUAGACCGACCACCACCACGCUGGAUCGUCAGUGGAGAGCGAGUCCAACCAGGACACAACGACAAC
rnacentral:lncRNA from 1 species